rfam:Schistosoma curassoni strain Dakar, Senegal genome assembly, scaffold: SCTD_scaffold0000719
AUCCAGAUGACGAGUUCCCAAUAGAACGAAAUGCACAUCCCGUAU